GUGCUCGCUUUGGCAGCACAUAUACUAAAAAAUGGAACUAUAUAGAGAAGAUUAGCAUGGCCCCUGCACAAGGAUGAUACGCAAAUUCAUGAAGCAUUCCAUUAAAAA